CUGGUUCAGCAGCACAUAUACUAAAACUGGCACAUUACAGAGAAGAUUAGCAUGGCUCCUGAGCAUGAAUAAAACACAAAUUUGUGAAGCGUUCCAUAUUUUU
ensembl:snRNA U6 U6 spliceosomal RNA